AGAGUUUGAUCCUGGCUCAGAAUGAACGCUGGCGGCGUGCUUAACACAUGCAAGUCGAACGAGAAAGGGAUUGCUUGCAAUCCUGAGUAGAGUGGCGCACGGGUGAGUAACACGUAGAUAAUCUACCUUUGAACCUGGGAUAACUAAUCGAAAGGUUAGCUAAUACCGGAUGAAGUUAAUCGGCAUAAGUUGAUUGAUGAAAGACUGCCUAUCCUUGGAAGCAGUUGUUUGGAGAUGAGUUUGCGGACCAUUAGCUAGUUGGUGGGGUAAAGGCCUACCAAGGCGACGAUGGUUAGCUGGUCUGAGAGGAUGAUCAGCCACACUGGAACUGAAACACGGUCCAGACUCCUACGGGAGGCAGCAGUGAGGAAUUUUGCGCAAUGGGGGCAACCCUGACGCAGCAACGCCGCGUGAGUGAUGAAGGCCCUCGGGUCGUAAACUUCUUUUGUACGAGAAGAACAUGAGAUACGUGUAUUUCACUGACUGUAUCGUAUGAAUAAGGAUCGGCUAACUCCGUGCCAGCAGCCGCGGUAAUACGGAGGAUCCAAGCGUUAUCCGGAUUUAUUAGGUUUAAAGGGUGCGUAGGCGGAAGAAUAAGUCAGUGGUGAAAUCCUGCAGCUUAACUGCGGAACUGCCAUUGAUACUGUUUUUCUUGAGUACGGUUGAGGUAGGCGGAAUGUGUAGUGUAGCGGUGAAAUGCUUAGAUAUUACACAGAACACCGAUUGCGUAGGCAGCUUACUAAGCCGUAACUGACGCUGAGGCACGAAAGCGUGGGGAUCGAACAGGAUUAGAUACCCUGGUAGUCC
rnacentral:rRNA from 1 species